CGGGGGGAGCAAGCGUUGUUCGGAUUUACUGGGCGUAAAGGGCGCGUAGGCGGCCACCGCAAGUCGGUUGUGAAAUCUCCGGGCUUAACCCGGAAAGGUCAAUCGAUACUGCGGGGCUAGAGUGCAGAAGGGGCAACUGGAAUUCUCGGUGUAGCGGUGAAAUGCGUAGAUAUCGAGAGGAACACCUGCGGCGAAGGCGGGUUGCUGGGCUGACACUGACGCUGAAGCGCGAAAGCUAGGGGAGCGAACGGGAUUAGAUACCCCGGUAGUCCUAGCCUUAAACGAUGAAUGCUUGGUGUCUGGGGUUUUAUAGUCCCCGGGUGCCGUCGCUAACGCUUUAAGCAUUCCGCCUGGGGAUACGGUCGCAAGACUG
rnacentral:rRNA from 1 species